AUUAGAAAUCAUUAAUCACUGCCCUGCUGUCAAAGAUUUCAAGGAGAGAUGGCCAGCUCUUUUUUGUGAAUCUGAGAUUAAGAAUGAGUUCAGAAGGAUAACCACAGUUCCCCUGGAGCCAACCUUUCUGCAAACACUGGACCUCUACACUCCAAAGCUCCUGGAUUUGUUUAAAAUGAAGGGUGGGUAUGCAGGCAUAAAAAUAAGAAGUAUGCUAGAUUCUCUCUGCCAGCGAGUUGAAGAUAAGAGAGAUGCUGUGAUUCGGUGCCUGCUUUCCUACCUGGGAGAAUCAUCUGAGGAGC